CUACGUGCCAGCAGCCGCGGUAAUACGGAGGGUGCGAGCGUUAAUCGGAAUAACUGGGCGUAAAGGGCACGCAGGCGGUGACUUAAGUGAGGUGUGAAAGCCCCGGGCUUAACCUGGGAAUUGCAUUUCAUACUGGGUCGCUAGAGUACUUUAGGGAGGGGUAGAAUUCCACGUGUAGCGGUGAAAUGCGUAGAGAUGUGGAGGAAUACCGAAGGCGAAGGCAGCCCCUUGGGAAUGUACUGACGCUCAUGUGCGAAAGCGUGGGGAGCAAACAGGAUUAGAUACCCUGGUAGUCCACGCUGUAAACGAUGUCGAUUUGGGGGUUGAACUUUGAGUUUGGCGCCCGUAGCUAACGUGAUAAAUCGACCGCCUGGGGAGUACGGCCGCAAGGUUAAAACUCAAAUGAAUUGACGGGGGCCCGCACAAGCGGUGGAGCAUGUGGUUUAAUUCGAUGCAACGCGAAGAACCUUACCUACUCUUGACAUCCAGAGAACAUUC
rnacentral:rRNA from 1 species